UCAAUUAACAGUUUUCUGCUCUCCAACACAGCCAGUGAGCAUUUAUCCAUCUGUCUUCACAGGCGUGACGGGCAGGUGCUCCACAUCACCACUAAUUGGAGACCUUCAUAAAGAGCUGAAUCCAGCAGGAGGGCGUCAGCUCUUUCUCGCUUCCAGCGUGAAACCUGGACCCCAGCCUCAGAAACUCCAAGUUGGACCUCCAAGAAUCAGAGAAGACCUUCUAAACUCUUUUCUGGUUUAGUCCUGCUGCCUGUGCUCACCUGCCUGUCCACCCUCCUACACCACCAUACUGGAGAGAACUCACCGGACCUGCACCUACAGCCUGGACAUCACCCUUUGCGGACAAAACCUAGCCUCGAUCUCUCAGAACCUGGACAGUCCGAUCAGCCAGAACCACCUCAGAACAAACCACACCUGUUGUCAAUAAACUCUCUUACCGUACUGUUUGCCCUCAUUCAAAGUCUCAGUUUGUUAAACAUGACAAGAGUAGAAGUACAAAGUACAAUAAAAAUGUCAAAUUAUACAAAUAAAA